GGUUGCAGCCCGGUGCCGUGAGCUGAAGAGGUUUCACAUCUUACUCCGCCCCACACCCUGGGCGUUGCGGCGCUGGGCUCGUUGCUGCAGCCGGACCCUGCUCGAUGGGCACGACUGGGCUGGAGAGUCUGAGUCUGGGGGACCGCGGAGCUGCCCCCACCGUCACCUCUAGUGAGCGCCUAGUCCCAGACCCGCCGAAUGACCUCCGCAAAGAAGAUGUUGCUAUGGAAUUGGAAAGAGUGGGAGAAGAUGAGGAACAAAUGAUGAUAAAAAGAAGCAGUGAAUGUAAUCCCUUGCUACAAGAACCCAUCGCUUCUGCUCAGUUUGGUGCUACUGCAGGAACAGAAUGCCCCCACAAGGACUGAAGUUCAGAUCCAAAAGUUCACUUGCUAAUUAUCUUCACAAAAAUGGAGAGACUUCUCUUAAGCCAGAAGAUUUUGAUUUUACUGUACUUUCUAAAAGGGGUAUCAAGUCAAGAUAUAAAGACUGCAGCAUGGCAGCCCUGACAUCCCAUCUACAAAACCAAAGUAACAAUUCAAACUGGAACCUCAGGACCCGAAGCAAGUGCAAAAAGGAUGUGUUUAUGCCGCCAAGUAGUAGUUCAGAGUUGCAG
rnacentral:lncRNA from 10 species